CAAUAUUAACAAUCGUUUUUUUCCCCAGCAAUAUUAACAAUCGUUUUUUCCCCAGCAACAAUAUUUUUUUCCAGCAUUAACAAUCGUUUUUUCCCAGCAGCCCCUAUGAACAAUUUCCCCACAAUAACUUUUUACUUGUUUUUGUUUUCCACAGUCUGUUCUACAGUAGAUGCUAGCGACGGUACACUGGAACUCAUGGGUUGCUAGGUGACAGGUAUAGGGUGUUAAGGUAGUCUAAUAAUACAUCCAAGUUUGACUUGAUGUUAUCACAAAUAAUAACCUUUGUUUAGAACUUUUCUUCCAAGUAUGCAGAUUGUGUUCCCUCUGAAGAUGAUGAGCUAGUUAAUGUGAACUGACAACUUCUUCAAGCAGGACUAAGUUGGAUGUCCCUGGCGAGUGAGCAGAUGUCAAUUAUGUUUCUUCUGAAGUUGAUGAAGUAGUCUUGACUGAAGUCUCCAUCCGAGAUGAUCUACCAGCAAAGAAUGAGACCGUACUUGUAUCGAGGCAUUCUCUUUGAUGUCGAGGCUAACACUGAUGAGAGGAAGGAUUUGAUGGGCUGACCUGUUUUGUACUCCAGACACUCGGCAACCACCCGAUGACGAAGGACUUGCUCAAGUUUAGCCAUGUACUCAACAACGAGGAACUUGUACACAAGUCCACUCCAGGAGGGAUCGUCUAGAUAGUUUUAUGUUUACUCAAUAGUCUUUAAAGACACUGGACACAUUUGGUAACUCUCAAAGAUCAGUAUUUUUGCUUGUUUUUCCCAACAUUAUGCUUAAAAAAGUCUGCGAUAAUUUUUACUCAAUUGGUCAUCAAAGUUGCAGGCCAAUAAUGAAAUAAUCCAUGUUGCACAAACGUGUGUACUUU